CCUACGGGAGGCAGCAGUGAGGAAUAUUGGUCAAUGGACGAGAGUCUGAACCAGCCAAGUAGCGUGAAGGAUGACUGCCCUAUGGGUUGUAAACUUCUUUUAUAUGGGAAUAAAAUGUUCCACGUGUGGGCUUUUGUAUGUACCAUAUGAAUAAGGAUCGGCUAACUCCGUGCCAGCAGCCGCGGUAAUACGGAGGAUCCGAGCGUUAUCCGGAUUUAUUGGGUUUAAAGGGAGCGUAGGUGGAUUGUUAAGUCAGUUGUGAAAGUUUGCGGCUCAACCGUAAAAUUGCAGUUGAAACUGGCAGUCUUGAGUAGAGUAGAGGUGGGCGGAAUGCGUGGUGUAGCGGUGAAAUGCUUAGAUAUCACGAAGAACUCCGAUUGCGAAGGCAGCUCACUGGACUGCAACUGACACUGAGGCUCGAAAGUGUGGGUAUCAAACAGGAUUAGAUACCCCUGUAGUC
rnacentral:rRNA from 1 species